UUUCCUUUCAACUGCACUUGCAUCAGCUGAUGCAGAUCUGAUUGUCUCUGAAACCAUAGCAGAUGAACUCUGAAGAACUGUUGCAUGUUUGACCAUUUGUUUGUGCCAAAUUUAGGAUACCUGGAAGAUCGUCGUCCGGCUUCAAACAUGGAUCCCUAUGUGGUGAUAUCUCUUCUGGCUGAAACCACAAUUCUUUGGCAGCCAACCCUCGAGGCUGAGGCUCGUGCCGCGAAGGAGUUGCAGUUGCAAGUAUGAGGCCUUCAUGGUGAGGUGUGGAACGGGAACUCGAUGGAUACCUCCUCUCUUGGUGUCAGCUCCUCCUCAGUUCCAAAUUUGAUCUCUGUAGUUUCU
rnacentral:lncRNA from 1 species